UACGGAGGGUGCAAACGUUGCUCGGAAUCAUUGGGCGUAAAGCGCACGUAGGCGGUCUUUUAAGUCGGGUGUGAAAGCCCUCGGCUCAACCGAGGAAGUGCAUUCGAAACUGAAAGGCUUGAGUACGGAAGAGGGUCUCGGAAUUCCCGGUGUAGAGGUGAAAUUCGUAGAUAUCGGGAGGAACACCAGUGGCGAAGGCGGAGACCUGGGCCGAUACUGACGCUGAGGUGCGAAAGCGUGGGGAGCAAACAGG
rnacentral:rRNA from 1 species